AGUGAAUAGAUACCCGGGUAGUCCACGCUGUAAACGAUGAGUGCUGGACGUUGGCGGGUUUACCUGCCGGUGUCGCAGCUAAACGCGUUAAGCACUCCGCCUGGGGAGUACGGCCGCAAGGUUAAAACUCAAAGGAAUUGACGGGGGCCCGCACAAGCGGUGGAGCAUGUGGUUUAAUUCGACGCAACGCGCAGAACCUUACCAGCCCUUGACAUGGGCGGACGGGGUUCCAGAGAUGGAGUCUUUCUCGCAAGAGACCGCUACACAGGUGCUGCAUGGCUGUCGUCAGCUCGUGUCGUGA
rnacentral:rRNA from 1 species